rnacentral:rRNA from 1 species
GACGGAGGAUGCAAGCGUUAUCCGGAAUGAUUGGGCGUAAAGCGUCCGCAGGUGGCAGUUCAAGUCUGCUGUCAAAGACCGGGGCUUAACUUCGGAAAGGCAGUGGAAACUGAACAGCUAGAGUAUGGUAGGGGCAGAGGGAAUUCCUGGUGUAGCGGUGAAAUGCGUAGAUAUUGGGAGGAACACCAGUGGCGAAGGCGGCUACCUGGACCGGUUCUGACGCUGAGGCGCGAAAGCGUGGGUAGCAAACAGG